rnacentral:rRNA from 1 species
AUGCAGAAUUCAGUGAAUCAUCGAAUCUUUGAACGCACCUUGCGCCCUCUGGCUAUUCCGGAGGGCAUGCCUGUUUGAGUAUCGUG